rnacentral:rRNA from 1 species
GAUGAACGCUGGCGGCGUGCCUAAUACAUGCAAGUCGAGCGAACAGACGAGGAGCUUGCUCCUCUGACGUUAGCGGCGGACGGGUGAGUAACACGUGGAUAACCUACCUAUAAGACUGGGAUAACUUCGGGAAACCGGAGCUAAUACCGGAUAAUAUAUUGCACCGCAUGGUUCAAUAGUGAAAUACGGUUUUGCUGUCACUUAUAGAUGGCUCCGCCCCGCAUUAGCUAGUUGGUAAGGUAACGGCUUACCAAGGCAACGAGGCGUAGCCGACCUGAGCGGGUGAUCGGCCACACUGGAAGUGAGACACGGCCCAGACUCCUACGGGAGGCAGCAGUAGGGAAUCUUCCGCGAUGGGCGAGAGCCUGACGGAGCAACGCCGCGUGAGUGAUGAAGGUCUUCGGAUCGGAAAGCUCUGUUAGUAGGGAAGAAGAAAUGUGCAAGUAACUGUGCACAUCUUGACGGUACCGAAUCAGAAAGCCACGGCUAACUACGUG